ACUACGGGGGGCAGCAGUGGGGAAUAUUGGGCAAUGGGCGCAAGCCUGACCCAGCAACGCCGCGUGAAGGAAGAAGGCUUUCGGGUUGUAAACUUCUUUUCUCAGGGACGAAGAAAGUGACGGUACCUGAGGAAUAAGCCACGGCUAACUACGUGCCAGCAGCCGCGGUAAUACGUAGGUGGCAAGCGUUAUCCGGAUUUAUUGGGUGUAAAGGGCGUGUAGGCGGGAGCGCAAGUCAGAUGUGAAAACUCAGGGCUCAACCCUGAGCCUGCAUUUGAAACUGUGUUUCUUGAGUGCUGGAGAGGCAAUCGGAAUUCCGUGUGUAGCGGUGAAAUGCGUAGAUAUACGGAGGAACACCAGUGGCGAAGGCGGAUUGCUGGACAGUAACUGACGCUGAGGCGCGAAAGCGUGGGGAGCAAACAGGAUUAGAUACCCCAGUAGUC
rnacentral:rRNA from 1 species